CCCUUAGAUGUUCUGGGCCGCACGCGCGCUACACUGAUGCAUUCAACGAGCCUAUCCUUGACCGACAGGUCAGGGUAAUCUUUGAAUCUGCAUCGUGACGGGGAUAGAUUAUUGCAAUUAUUAAUCUUCAACGAGGAAUGCCUAGUAGGCGCAAGUCAUCAGCUUGCGUCGAUUACGUCCCUGCCCUUUGUACACACCGCCCGUCGCUCCUACCGAUUGGGUGUGCUGGUGAAAUGUUCGGAUCGGCCGUUUGUCGCGGUUUCCGCGUCAUGUGGCUGAGAAGUUCAUUAAACCCUCCCACCUAGAGGAAGGAGAAGUCGUAACA
rnacentral:rRNA from 1 species